rnacentral:lncRNA from 1 species
AGCUUCUGUGAUGUAAAUCUUUCACAAAGGCUGACUUCCAGCCACCGACAGGACGCCACUUAACACAGACAUAGAUAAUACCAGAUGCAUUGGAUCCCCUCAAGAGCGAGAGAAUUACCAAAUAACUAGGAAGUGAUGGCCUUUUAGUAUUUGAUCCUUUUGUUUUUAAUUUAAUUUAUUUCAUUGUAAGUUUUGUAAUUUAAUUUUUAAUAAUGGCUGUGUUUAACAACUGGCUCACAAAGUUCCUAAUAAUUUAACAAUCUCUUCCUCAGCCCCUUCUUGUCCUCAGGUUCUAAAUAGAAGCCCUGUGCUGUGCACACUGUGCAUCUCAGGUCUUGGUUUCCAAGGGAAGAAAGCAAUCUCCUUGAGCAAGUACUCCGCCACUGCCUCGGGCCCCACCUGUGCUCAGCCCUUCCUCCACUUCUUGCUACCAGCUUUCCAGCUCCGAGAGACAGAGCACGUCCUGAUGAAGUCUGUCUCCAGUUCCAGAGCUCCUGAAGACCGUCCUCAGCUCUGGGCUCCUGAGGCUCAGUUAUUCUGGAAGUUGCCCAGAAUCAUCCACAAACUCACUUUUUGUUUCUUCUUAAGCUGGCAUAGAGUCUGGUUUCUAUCACGACUUGAAGAGCCCUAACUAUUACACAAGGCUAGUGGACUGGCUACUUGAUUAAACAGGCAACGUACUACCACUUUGAUCUUUUCCUUUAGUCAUAAGACUGAAUGAGAGGCUGCCCCAAGAACUGGCCAUUGAGGGCUCUGGGUUGACCUCUGGCUUGGAGGUCAUCAAAGCUUCCCUGACAAGUCCGGAAGUAGCCUGCCUGGGCUCAGUUCUCAGUCUGCAUCCUUCCUCUUCCCACUUAUCUGGCAUUUAGCUGACCGUAUGGUGCCAUCCCCUUGCCAUGUUGUUUAACUCUUAACAAGAGAAUAUCUCAUCUCCCCAAUUAAUUCCUCCUUGGGUCCAGCAUAGUGCUGCGAAUGUAUAUAGCUGGUUCAGGUAAAGGAAUGAAAGAGGUCAUUUAUUUUGUUUGUAGUUUUCUACCCUGAAUGGGGAAGAGUUACUCUAACUUCUUGCUCUUAGUAUAUACUUUUAACAUCUAAACCACCUUUAUAGUAAAAAAUGAUAAUAUUAUUUAUUGAGUGUUACUAUGUGCUUGAUCCUUAAUCUUUUACCCAACCUUUCCAGCAGUGCUCCGAGGUGGGCAG